rnacentral:rRNA from 1 species
ACGCUCGACACCUACGGGAGGCAGCAGUAGGGGAAUCUUUCCACAAUGGACGGCCAAGUCUGAUGGAGCAACGCCGCGUGAGUGAAGAAGGUCUUCGGAUCGUAAAACUCUGUUGUUAGAGAAGAACACGAGUGAGAGUAACUGUUCAUUCGAUGACGGUAUCUAACCAGCAAGUCACGGCUAACUACGUGCAAGCAGCCGCGGUAAUCUGAGCGGCUGGCAAGGC